rnacentral:rRNA from 1 species
CCCUUAGAUGUUCUGGGCCGCACGCGCGCUACACUGAUGCAUUCAACGAGUCUAAAACCUGCUCUGAUAGGGGUGGGUAAUCUUUUGAAUGUGCAUCGUGAUUGGGAUAGAUGAUUGCAAUUUUUCAUCUUCAGCGAGGAAUGCCUAGUAAACGCAAGUCAUCAGCUUGCAUUGAUUACGUCCCUGCCCUUUGUACACACCGCCCGUCGCUCCUACCGAUUGAAUGAUCCGAUGAAUAUCAUGGAUUGAGGAUGCAAGUAGGUUCGCCUAUCUUCAUCUUCGAGAAGUGAAGUAAAUCUUAUCAUUUAGAGGAAGGAGAAGUCGUAACA